UUUAUUUUAAUGAUGACAAUCAACACCAUUUACUGAAAAAUCAUGAUCAGAUUUGUUUAACAUGCAUCACCAACUGAGGAUAUCU